GAACCGUCCUAACGUUGUUCGGAUUCACUGGGCUUAAAGGGCGCGUAGGCGGGAGACCAAGUCCGGGGUGAAAUCUUUCGGCUCAACCGGAAAACUGCCUUGGAUACUGGUCUUCUAGAGGGAGGUAGGGGUCUGCGGAACUUCCGGUGGAGCGGUGAAAUGCGUUGAUAUCGGAAGGAACGCCGGUGGCGAAAGCGGCGGACUGGACCUCUUCUGACGCUGAGGCGCGAAAGCCAGGGGAGCAAACGGGAUUAGAUACCCCGGUAGUCCUGGCCCUAAACGAUGGGUACUAGGUAGUGGACUUAACAUGGGUUCACUGCCGAAGCAAAAGUGAUAAGUACCCCGCCUGGGGAGUAUGGUCGCAAGGCUGAA
rnacentral:rRNA from 1 species